rnacentral:rRNA from 1 species
UUUAUUGAGAGUUUGAUCCUGGCUCAGGAUGAACGCUGGCGGCAUGCCUAAGACAUGCAAGUCGUACGAAGUGGCCCAUUGAUGAUUGAGUGCUUG